rnacentral:rRNA from 1 species
GGGCCUACGGGGGGCAGCAGUAGGGAAUCUUCCACAAUGGACGAAAGUCUGAUGGAGCAACGCCGCGUGAGUGAAGAAGGGUUUCGGCUCGUAAAGCUCCGUUGGUAGGGGAGAAAGAUAGAGGUAGUAACUGGCCUUUAUUUGAAGGUAAUUACUUAGAAAGUCACGGCUAACUACGUGCCAGCAGGCGCGGUAAUACGUAGGUGGCAAGCGUUGGCCGGAUUUAUUGGGCGGAAAGCGAGUGCAGGCGG